UACGUUCCGGGUCCGUUGUACACACCGCCCGUCCACGUCACGAAGUCGGUAACACCCGAAGCCGGUGGCCUAACCCGUAAGGGAGGGAGCUGUCGAAGGUGGGAUCGGCGAUUGGACG
rnacentral:rRNA from 1 species